ensembl:rRNA 5S_rRNA 5S ribosomal RNA
GUCUACAGCCAUGCUACCCUUCUGAACAAGCCCGAUCCCGUCUGGUCUCAGAAGCUAAGCAGAGUCAGGCCUGCUGAGUACUUGGAUGGGAGACCACCUAGGAAGACCAGGUGCUGUAGGCA